GUAUAGCUCAGUGGUAGAGCAUUCGACAGCGGAUCGAGAGGUCCCCGUUCAAACCUUCAGGGAAGUGAAGAGAAAUA